UACGUAGGUGGCAAGCGUUGUCCGGAUUUACUGGGCGUAAAGAGCGCGCAGGCGGUCGUGCAAGUCGCGUGUGAAAGCCCCCGGCUCAACUGGGGAGGGUCACGCGAUACUGCUCGACUUGAAGGCAGGAGAGGGAAGUGGAAUUCCCGGUGUAGUGGUGAAAUGCGUAGAUAUGUGGAGGAACACCGAUGGCGAAGGCAGCCCCCUGGGUUAACACUGACGCUCAUGCACGAAAGCGUGGGGAGCAAACAGG
rnacentral:rRNA from 1 species